AAACAAUGAUGUGGAUAGCUCCUCAAUAAAUCUUUGAAUCGUUCCUAACAAUCAUAAAAAGUUUCAUUCUCCUGUUGGAGAAACCCAGUUAUGUCAUUUCCCAACUU
rfam:Ricinus communis cultivar Hale ctg_1100012361217, whole genome shotgun sequence.